ACGCUCGACACCUACGGGGGGCAGCAGUGGGGAAUAUUGCACAAUGGGGGAAACCCUGAUGCAGCGACGCCGCGUGGAGGAAGAAGGUCUUCGGAUUGUAAACUCCUGUUGUUGGGGAAAAAGAGGAUGGUACCCAACAAGGAAGUGACGGCUAACUACGUGCCAGGAGCCGCGGUAAUCUGAGCGGGCUGGCAAGGC
rnacentral:rRNA from 1 species